GGCUGGAUUUCGGGAAGAGGCAGGGAGACCACGCCGGGACAGCCGGGGCCUCCGGACAGAGCCGAUGCAGCCCUGUACGGGCAUCGGCCCAGGGCGCUCCGUCUCCCUCCUCACCAGCCCAAUUCCAGCAGGAUGGAGACGCCAGGGCUGGGAGGUCGGCGACACCGGCUUAGGGUUCCGGUGAGGACGCAGCUGUUGUUCCCCCUUCAGCCACCUGAGGGUCUCACUACAUAGCCCAGGCUGGCCUCGAACUCAUGGUGAUCCUCCUGCCUCAGCUUCUCGAGUGCUAGGAUGACAGAUGCUCUGAGGCCCUGGUGCUCUCCCUACAAAACAACAAACUCCGGAGAACACGAUGCUUGCAGCCGGGAUGGCCUCGAACACAUUCUGCUUGCCGGGCGCAGUGGUGCACACCUGCCAUCCUUGCACUCAAGAGGCUGAAACAGGAGGGUCCAAGGCUCCCAACCUGGG
rnacentral:lncRNA from 1 species